GUACAUAUGAUGUGAAUUUAUUAGAAUGAGUGAUUCUAUGACACUGUAAACGCUUUCUGAUGUA